UGCCCCUUGCCAGCAGGAAGUAGUUUCAGAAGCUUCCUGUUUCUAUGGCAAUGAAUGGGAUGUUUUGCACUAAGAAAUACUUUAAAUGCCACUGGGAGAAGGCCUGUGCAUGAGACGGUGUUGUGGAAUGGAGAAGAAAGCUCUGAGUCAGAAGAUUUGGGCUCAAAUUCCAGAUGCUGUACUCACAUCUAUGUGGCUUUGAGCAUCACUUAACCUUGUUUCUCUAUAAAAUUGAGGA